UACGUAGGGGGCAAGCGUUGUCCGGAUUUAUUGGGCGUAAAGAGCGUGUAGGCGGCCAGAUAGGUCAGCUGUGAAAACUCGAGGCUCAACCUCGAGAUGUCGGCUGAAACCAUCUGGCUAGAGUCCGGAAGAGGAGAAUGGAAUUCCCGGUGUAGCGGUGAAAUGCGCAGAUAUCGGGAAGAACACCCGUGGCGAAGGCGGUUCUCUGGGGACGGUACUGACGCUGAGACGCGAAAGCGUGGGGAGCGAACAGG
rnacentral:rRNA from 1 species